rnacentral:lncRNA from 1 species
UUCUUGCCCGUUCUUGGCGGAGGGGGAGGCGGGCGGCGGCAGGAGGUGCGGCGUGGGGAGGCGCACGGGCGAGAGCGGCGGGCUCUUGGCGGGCGCCCCACCUCUCCCGUCGCGGGGCAAGCUGGCCUGCUCCCGCGGCGACGCGUCGAGCGACGGGCUCCUGGUGGGCAUUCCUCCUCCCCUCCCGUCGCUGGGGAAACUUGCCUGCUCCCGCGGCGACGCGUCGAGCGACGGGCUCCUGGUGGGCGUUCCUCCUCCCCUCCCGUCGCUGGGGAAACUUGCUUGCUCCCGCGGAGACGCGUCGAGCGGCGGGCUCCUGGCGGGCGCCCAUCCCUUCCCGUCGCUGGGCAAGCAGGCCUCCUCCCGCGGCGACGCGUCGAACGACGGGCUCCUGGUGGGCGUUCCUCCUCCCCUCCCGUCGCUGGGGAAACUUGCCUGCUCCCGCGGCGACGCGUCGAGCGACGGCGGCGGCGUG